CGCCGACCUCAAUAGCUUAGAAGAGUCCUUUCAAAAGACAUGACAUUCAAAGUACUGUAUAUGUGCAAUAGACCAGUAAUUCUUGUGUUCUCAGCUUCCCAGGAGUCUGAUUUCCACAGCCAAAUAAAUUGCCUGACAGCUGAAGAGGUAACAAGCAUGCUUUAGGACCAAUAGUAAUUGCUACAGUGGAAGGAAAAAUAAACUUCUUCAGACAGUGCUGCUGCUGCACCUUUUGUGUUACAGAAAUUCUUUAUUCAGGCACAGUGUUGAGUUGCAUUGGUAGAUUCGAUGUGUCCAGCUUUUCUUUGUCUGCUUCAAGGGAAAAGAAAUAGCUGAAAGGGAAAACAAAAGGAGGAAAACAUAGAAAAUGCAAUGAGAAGAGUGGGCUGCUAACUUCCAAGCUGUAUUCGGAAAAAGGAAGCAGGAGAGACAGCAAAAUAAGAAGAUAGAGGCAGUAAGCUGAGCAUAAUCAAAAAAAAAAACAACCCACCGAGCCCCGUGCAGAAUCUGCCUCUCUGAGCAACACAACAUUCUGUUAUUCAGUCAGCUUGUGACAGAUUCACAUUUGUAUGAAAAAACAUUACAUUGCUUUAAAAAGAGGCUACAUAUAAAUAAUUUCUAGAUCCGUAAUAUGAAUAUCUGAGACAAAGGCAGCCAUCACAGUCUGUUGGUUUCUUGUCACUUUUAUUUUCCUGCAUGUCAAUAAAGGCACAGAAGUGAGACUGACAGGCCCGGAAUUACCAGAGUGCUCCUUCUUAUCCUUCCUGAGAAAUGGGACAACAUUUGCCAGCUUCCAAUGCACUGGGAAUUCUCUAGUCUCCCAAGACCAUUGAAAAAUAAAGAAGAGGUCCUGCGACAACAUCCCGUUGUGUCUCUAAUCUCCCUAGGCUGAGAAUACUUGACCAGCUUUUUAUCGAUCCAGAAGCUCUCCCUUUGGGUGCACUCUAGGUAUUCACUGAACUACCUGUCCCAGGCCGCUUACCUGACUGCAUGAGGGAGAAGGUCUGCUAAUCCAGUUGGCGUCAGGCAAGGAAGGAGAACUUGGAACAGGAUGUCUUUCAGUGUAAAUACACAUUGUUCUUAUACUUCGUAGAGUAAAUGUCUGCAAGAGCCAGUGGAUCCUCCAGAUAACUCCCAGUGGCUAUCAUUAGCCCUAAUGGAAUGCAGCUGAGCGCCAGCAUAGCUACGUUGGUCUUCACUGAGCAGGUCUUGAAUGCAAAUCUUUUUGCAGUAAGACUAACUCAGAGUUACUAUUGAGAGAUAUGGACUUUGUGAUUGCCAGGAGGUGAUUACUACAGUGAGUAAAAAGCUUGUUUAUUUGUUUUGAUUGUUUGGUUCUCAUAGAUGGAAUAAUGAUAAUCAUCAUCUGUUGAUCUGGGGGCUUACUGAUUGUUAUCUGAAAUAAUUCAGCCAAAGUACAAUCAACAGCCUGGUUUAAUUACCACUACAAUUCAACAGACUCAGAGAUGGGUAUUUUUAAUCAAAUAUCCAUUUGCCAAAACUUUGUCUCUCCCAAUUUUCCAACAAAAAUGACCAUUCAUACUCAUGGAUGACACCUUACAAUUAUACUCAGUCAAGACUUAUGCCUUAAAUAAUCUAUGCAUACCAUAGAAUCAAAGAAUCAUUGAAUCAUAGAAUGAUUUGGAUUGGAAAUGACCUUAAAGAUUGUCUAAUUCCAAACCCCCUGACAUGGGCAGGGACAUCUCCCACUAGACCAGGCUGUCCAAGCCCACGUUCAACCUGACCUUGAACAACUCCAGGGAUGGGGCAGCCACAACUUCACUGGGUCACAUGUUCCAGUGCCUCAUCAUGCUCAUUGUGAAGAAAUUCCUCCUUAUGUAUAGUCUAAAUCUGCCCCUCUCCAGUUUAUACCCAUUGCCCCUACUCCCACCACUACAUGUCUUUGUAAACAGUACCUUCCCAGCUUUUUUGUACACCCCCUUCAGGUACUGGAAUGUCUCUGUAUGGUCUUCUUGGAGCCUUCUUUUUUCCAAGAUGAACAACCCUAACUCAGCCUGUCCUCAUAGCAGAGGUUCUCCAGCCCUCUGAUCAUCUCUGUGGCCUCCUCUGGACCUGCUCCAACAAUUCCAUCUCCUUCUUAUGUUGAGGAUUCCGGACCCCCAAAUUCUUCUCUUCAGGGCUGCCCUCAAUCACAUCAACCCCCAUCCUGUAUUGAAACUGCAGAUUGCCCCGACCCAAGCGUAGGACCUUGUACUUGGCCUUGUUGAAUGUCGUGAUGCUCACACUGGCCCACUUCUCUGGCUUGUCCAGGUCCCUCUGACUGACAUCCUGUCCUUCUGGUGUGGCAAGAAGAGCAUGAAGUAAUUUGAAAUUAAAUGAUCAACCAUUUCAAAAAAGAAUUAUUUUUUUUCUGAAAAAAAGAUUUGCAAACAAAAGUUCAGUAUGUGGAAGAGAGUUUCUGGCUGAGUACAGGAAAGUAGUGAUAAUGUGAUAAAAUAUGUUAAUGGAGAGCCUUGCAAAGAUGCAGUUGAAGAGCUAUCAUUACAAAGCUUCUGAACACAAAUAUGGUGCAAGUCUGAACACAAGAUAUUCACUGAUGCUUGUGAAAAGUCUGCCUGGAUAAGUCUGACAGUAUGAUGAGUUAGUGGAUGUCAGGUGGGCAGACCAGAAGAUGCGUUAUAAUCACAGUCAAAGCUGUUAUGGCCUCUGUCCAGUGUUCCAAGGAAAGGAAGGACUCGAAAGAGUGAGAGAUUCCUCUUUGAUGAUGUCACUCCUCCUGCUCUCUUUUGUUAUACCAACUGAUGUGCUCAGCAAAACAGCUCAUUAGUGAUGACAGCAGAGCCAACACCACCUUAGGGGUCAUCUUGUAACCAUAAAUCCAUGCUAACCUUUUGGAUCUGUGCUCUAAAUGCUGAGAGUUUUGCAGAGCAGCUCUCAUCCUUUCAUGAUAUGUCUUGUUGAAAUCAGCAGUACAUACAGGGCCAUGGCUUUCAACAUGUUUUGUAGGCAAACGAAACAGAGCAGCACAGUUUAGACCACUGCAGGUCUAAAUUGACAUAUCUCCUGAUUCCUAUUACCAAAUAAUGCACUGUUAUCAGUGGUGAUUUUAACAAUCUCCUAAACUGCAAUCUGUACUGAGAAGUAAAGACUUUUUAAUCCUUCAUAACUUCCAUGGCAUAAUGCCUCUCUUACAAUAGUAGGCUCUGGACCUGUCCAUCAACUUAAUGCCUGGAAUAAUAAUGCUUGAUGAAGUACCUUCUCAUCUCAAGAGCAGGCACUUAGCUACAUAAAUCUCUCAUGUAGAGAAAAGAAAUAGAUAUAUACCCAAAUGGGCUUUCUUUGUGAAAGGUCAACUUUUGAACGUAUUUCCUUAUCCCCCUGGAGCCUCUGCAACAGAUAACAUUUCAGAACUUGUCUUCUGCUUUCUACUCUAUUUAAUUAAAGUGUGCUGCUGACUUUGAUGAAAAUAUGUUUCCCUCAUGAUUAAAAAGCUCUUUUGAUUAAAUCAUUUUGCCUAGACAAGUUGCCUGUAAUAAUAAUAAAUUAGAAUGUUUUUGAAACUACUUUCUCAUGUGUUAAUAAAUUGUAUUUAAUUCUACAUGUUAAUUGACUGGUGCCCAGAACACCUCACCCACCAGUUCAGUGCAUUACUAUUACUGGUCAGCCUGGAACUCCUCUAAGGUGGAUUACAAUAUUGAUCUUACCCUGUGGAGAAAGAAAGUGGGAAAAUGCCAGUUCGAAUCAAUGCUGAGAGACUGUAGGUCUCUCAGCUAAUCUUGUAAUCUGAAAUGCAGGAAAGUGCAGUACAAAGAGAGCUGAACUAGUUUGAUGGAAGUCAUCUCAACUUUAGAAGCUCAAUAGUAGCAUAAAUAGAGCGUUAAUCCUGAAAGAAUAAAUCUUGCUGUAUGAUUUCUAACCGUCUCAGGUCCCAGGUAUAAUUUUCCAAUUUGCGUUGAUCUGAGAUGACAAUGAGCAGAACAAUCUUAGGUCUCUUUUAUUCAGCUGUGACUGAUGUGUUCAGAGAUAUAAAGAACAUCUUUGGUCUGCUU